UACGGAGGGUGCGAGCGUUGUCCGGAAUCACUGGGCGUAAAGGGCGCGUAGGCGGCCAGCACAAGUCAGUUGUGAAAUCUCCGGGCUUAACUCGGAAAGGUCAACUGAUACUGUGCGACUAGAGUGCAGAAGGGGCAACGUGGAAUUCUCGGUGUAGCGGUGAAAUGCGUAGAUAUCGAGAGGAACACCUGCGGCGAAGGCGGGUUGCUGGGCUGACACUGACGCUGAUGCGCGAAAGCCAGGGGAGCGAAGCGGG
rnacentral:rRNA from 1 species